rnacentral:RNase_P_RNA from 1 species
UAAGCAGAGCAGACGAUCGCGGCCCUGUCUUUGACAGGGGUGAGGAAAGUCCGGGCUUCACAGGGCAGGAUACCGGUUAACGGCCGGCGGAGGCGACUCCCGGGACAGUGCAACAGAGACAUACCGCCUUUCUCUUUGGAGAGAGGUAAGGGUGAAAAGGCAGUGUAAGAGACUACCGUCCGUGCAGUAAUGUGCGGAGCCAUGCAAACCCUAUCCGAAGCAAGACCGAAACGGAAACCAUGGAUUGGCCCGAUCCGUUUCCAGGUGCGUCGCUUGAGGCUGCCGGCAACGGCAGUCCUAGAAAGAUGAUCGUCCAACGACAGAACCCGGCUUAUCGCUCUGCUUAUAUU